ACCCGGUUACCUGAGCUUCCAUUUCCCCUGUCACAGGGGGGUUUAUGUCUGAAUUAAGAUGAAACCGUCAACCCUGAUACUUUUUUUGGUACUUAAUAUAGGUCUUUUUUAUUUAACCUCGAGAUGGGAUGUGUGUUUUUUUUUGUUUUUUUUUAAGUUGAACGUGUGCUCUUUUUGGCAAUGUUAAAAUUAGGUGAAAUAAGUGGGUUUUUUUCUCCACAACUCCAAAAGGCACCGAAUUAGUGGAACGACCCUUAUGAGUUUUUCAGAAAUGUUUCAGGACCUCCGUGACACAAGAUGGCGACACGGACCUAAAAAACCUUUCAUAUUCCAUAUAGAUGGGCUAUCGAAGAAGAAGCAAUGCCGAGUCCAGAACGGGACAGCUAAGAUCGUUGUAACAUGGUGUUGAGUCGUCUUCUAUCCGCUCUGCUCAACAAAGCGCAAGUGGUGGAAAAACUGGCCGAGUUGCGACCUAUACGACGGGCCGCACAGCUCACCGCUUAUGCCUGGAUGAAGGCAAGAAUUGCCGGAAAAGAUGCGACAACCAAACUGCUGAAGUUCAAAACAGUUCGCCAGAUACGACAUGAGGCUUUGGGACUGCCUAAAAACGUCGGGGAGAUGGGGAGAAAAGCCGGAAGACUUCGGGAUUCUUUAGUAAAGGAUGUGAAAGACGGGAUAAGGGACAAUUCGAGACAAGUUAAAGACAAGGACAAAUGAUGCUGUGUUCAACAACAAACCAAAUAGUAUAUUUUAAGGCCAUCAUAAUGGUUUUCUUUAGCUCUCAAAAACACUAUUCUGACUAGUAUUCAAAAUAAAAGCCCACAUUUCAAAACACUGCAAUGUGUAGAAUUCAUUCAAAAACAUUAAAAUAUUACAUUUGAAUCUA